AGCAGCCGCGGUAAUUCCAGCUCCAAUAGCGUAUAUUAAAGUUGUUGCAGUUAAAAAGCUCGUAGUUGAAUUUCGGGAUCAAUAUGUUGGUCGUGCCUUGGUACGUACUGGCAUUAUUGGUUCCUACCUUCUGAAGAACCUCGAUGUCAUUAAUUUGGUGUCUUGGGGAAUCAGGACUGUUACUUUGAAAAAAUUAGAGUGUUUAAAGCAGGCUCGCGCUUGAAUACAUUAGCAUGGAAUAAUGAAAUAGGACGUUUGAUUCUAUUUUGUUGGUUUCUAGGAUCGACGUAAUGAUUAAUAGGGAUAGUUGGGGGCAUUAGUAUUCAAUUGUCAGAGGUGAAAUUCUUGGAUUUAUUGAAGACUAACUACUGCGAAAGCAUUUGCCAAGGAUGUUUUCAUUAAUCAAGAACGAAAGUUAGGGGAUCGAAGACGAUCAGAUACCGUCGUAGU
rnacentral:rRNA from 1 species